UGUGCAAUUCAAUAUAGUUUGAAUUUAAAAGAUUAUUGAAUUAAUAUUUAUUUAAUAAAAAUAAUUUUAUUAAAAAAAUUUUUAGUAUAGUUUAUAGAAAAAAUAUUUUAAGUUAUAGAUAAGUAGUAUUGUAAAAGAAAUGUGAGAAAGAAUUUAAUUGAAAAAAAGUAGAAUUAAAUUUUUGUACCUUGUGUAUCAGGGUUUAUUAAAAAAAAUUAAUUAAUUGUUAGUUUCCCGAUUUUAAGAGAUUUAAUAGGAUUAUUUUUUUUAUUGUAAUAUAAAUAUUUAUAAUAACUUAUUAGAAAUGAAAUGUUAUUCGUUCUUAAAAAUAUCUGGUUUAUUUAGAAAUAAAUUUAAUUUAGUUAAUUUGAAUUUAUUAUUUUAUUUUUUAAAAAUAAUAAAUAUAAUUAAUACUAUAUAAAGGGAUAAGCUUUUAUGUAAAAUUUUAAAAUACAGGUAGUUUUUUAUAAAAAGAUAAGUUUAGAAAUAUUUAUUGUUAAUAGUUUGUUAUAAUUAUUUUAUUAUUUUUUAAUAUUUAAUAUUAAUAUUUAAUUUUUUAUAAAUAAAAAUUAUUUAAUAAGAAUUUAUUAGAUAUAAUGAUGAAAUUAGUAUAUAGAAUUGUUUAAAUAAAUUAAAAAUGGAGAUUAUUUAAAGGAAUUCGGCAAAAAUUUUAUUCGCCUGUUUAACAAAAACAUGUCCUUUAGAGUAUAAUUAAAGGUUUAACCUGCCCACUGAAAAAUUUAAAUGGCCGCAGUAAAUUGACUGUGCAAAGGUAGCAUAAUCAAUAGUUUUUUAAUUAAAAGCUUGUAUGAAUGGUUGGACGAGAUAAAAUCUGUCUUUAUAUAAUAUAUAGAAUUUAAUUUUUAAGUUAAAAAGCUUAAAUUAAUUUAAAAGACGAGAAGACCCUAUAGAUCUUAAUAAUUAUUUAUUUAAAAAUAUAUAGGAAUAAUAUUUAUUAUAAUUAUUUAAUUAUUUUGUUGGGGUAAUAGAAAGAUUUAAUAAAUUCUUUUUUAAUUAAAACAGUAAUUUUUGAAUAGUUGAUCCAUUAUUAAUGAUUAAAAGAUUAAGUUACCUUAGGGAUAACAGCGUAAUUUUUUUAAAGAGUUCAUAUCGAUAAAAAAGUUUGCGACCUCGAUGUUGGAUUAAAAAUUAUUCUAGGUGUAGUAGUUUAGAGUUUUGGUCUGUUCGACCAUUAAAUUUUUACAUGAUCUGAGUUCAGACCGGUGUAAGCCAGGUCGGUUUCUAUCUUUAGAUUUUUAAAAUAUUUUAGUACGAAAGGACCAAGUAUUUAAUAUAUUAAUAUUUUAUUUAAUGAAUAAAAUU
rnacentral:rRNA from 1 species